GGUUAAGUGACUAAGCGUACACGGUGGAUGCCUUGGCAGUCAGAGGCGAUGAAAGACGUAGUAACUUGCGAUAAGCCCAGAUUAGGUAGUAACAACCAUUUGAGUCUGGGAUUUCUGAAUGGGGAAACCCACUUACAUAAGUAAGUAUCAUUAACUGAAUACAUAGGUUAAUGAGGCGAACCGGGGGAACUGAAACAUCUAAGUACCCCGAGGAAAAGAAAUCAACCGAGAUUCCGAAAGUAGCGGCGAGCGAAAUUGGACUAGCCCUUAAGCUUUACACGCGUUAGACGAACGGUCUGGAAAGUCCGACGAUACAGGGUGAUAGUCCCGUAGUUGACGACGUGUGUUCAGUGAAAUCGAGUAGGGCGGGACACGUGAUAUCCUGUCUGAAUAUGGGGGGACCAUCCUCCAAGGCUAAAUACUACUGACUGACCGAUAGUGAACCAGUACCGUGAGGGAAAGGCGAAAAGAACCCCUGUGAGGGGAGUGAAAUAGAACCUGAAACCGUGUACGUACAAGCAGUAGGAGCAGGCUUUGUCCUGUGACUGCGUACCUUUUGUAUAAUGGGUCAGCGACUUAUAUUCAGUGGCAAGGUUAACCAUCUAGGGGAGCCGUAGGGAAACCGAGUCUUAACUGGGCGUUCAGUCUCUGGAUAUAGACCCGAAACCAGGUGAUCUAGCCAUGGGCAGGUUGAAGGUUGAGUAACAUCAACUGGAGGACCGAACCGACUAAUGUUGAAAAAUUAGCGGAUGACUUGUGGCUAGGGGUGAAAGGCCAAUCAAACCUGGAGAUAGCUGGUUCUCCCCGAAAGCUAUUUAGGUAGCGCCUCGGACGAAUACUACUGGGGGUAGAGCACUGUUAAGGCUAGGGGGUCAUCCCGACUUACCAACCCUUUGCAAACUCCGAAUACCAGUAAGUACUAUCCGGGAGACACACGGCGGGUGCUAACGUCCGUCGUGGAGAGGGAAACAACCCAGACCGCCAGCUAAGGUCCCAAAUUACUACUAAGUGGGAAACGAUGUGGGAAGGCUCAGACAGCCAGGAUGUUGGCUUAGAAGCAGCCAUCAUUUAAAGAAAGCGUAAUAGCUCACUGGUCGAGUCGGCCUGCGCGGAAGAUGUAACGGGGCUAAGUAGUAAACCGAAGCUGCGGCAAUGUGCUUUUGCACAUUGGGUAGGGGAGCGUUCUGUAAGCGGUUGAAGGUGUGUGGUAACGCAUGCUGGACGUAUCAGAAGUGCGAAUGCUGACAUGAGUAACGAUAAAGGGGGUGAAAAACCUCCUCGCCGGAAGACCAAGGGUUCCUGUCCAACGUUAAUCGGGGCAGGGUAAGUCGACCCCUAAGGCGAGGCCGAAAGGCGUAGUCGAUGGGAAACGGGUUAAUAUUCCCGUACUUCUUACAAUUGCGAUGGGGGGACGGAGAAGGCUAGGUGGGCCUGGCGACGGUUGUCCAGGUUCAAGUGCGUAGGCUUAAGAGUUAGGUAAAUCCGGCUCUUUUUAAGGCUGAGACACGACGUCGAGCACCUACGGGUGUGAAGUCAUUGAUGCCAUGCUUCCAGGAAAAGCCUCUAAGCUUCAGAUUGUAAGGAAUCGUACCCCAAACCGACACAGGUGGUCGGGUAGAGAAUACCAAGGCGCUUGAGAGAACUCGGGUGAAGGAACUAGGCAAAAUGGUACCGUAACUUCGGGAGAAGGUACGCUCUUGAUGGUGAAGUCCCUCGCGGAUGGAGCUGACGAGAGUCGCAGAUACCAGGUGGCUGCAACUGUUUAUUAAAAACACAGCACUGUGCAAAAUCGUAAGAUGACGUAUACGGUGUGACGCCUGCCCGGUGCCGGAAGGUUAAUUGAUGGGGUUAGACUUCGGUCGAAGCUCUUGAUCGAAGCCCCGGUAAACGGCGGCCGUAACUAUAACGGUCCUAAGGUAGCGAAAUUCCUUGUCGGGUAAGUUCCGACCUGCACGAAUGGCGUAAUGAUGGCCACGCUGUCUCCACCCGAGACUCAGUGAAAUUGAAAUCGCUGUGAAGAUGCAGUGUACCCGCGGCUAGACGGAAAGACCCCGUGAACCUUUACUACAGCUUGGCACUGAACAUUGACCCUACAUGUGUAGGAUAGGUGGGAGGCUUUGAAGCAGGUACGCCAGUAUCUGUGGAGCCGUCCUUGAAAUACCACCCUUGUAGUGUUGAUGUUCUAACGUCGACCCCUUAUCGGGGUUGCGGACAGUGCCUGGUGGGUAGUUUGACUGGGGCGGUCUCCUCCCAAAGAGUAACGGAGGAGCACGAAGGUGGGCUAAUCACGGUUGGACAUCGUGAGGUUAGUGCAAUGGCAUAAGCCCGCUUGACUGCGAGAAUGACAAUUCGAGCAGGUGCGAAAGCAGGUCAUAGUGAUCCGGUGGUUCUGAAUGGAAGGGCCAUCGCUCAACGGAUAAAAGGUACUCCGGGGAUAACAGGCUGAUACCGCCCAAGAGUUCAUAUCGACGGCGGUGUUUGGCACCUCGAUGUCGGCUCAUCACAUCCUGGGGCUGAAGUCGGUCCCAAGGGUAUGGCUGUUCGCCAUUUAAAGUGGUACGCGAGCUGGGUUUAGAACGUCGUGAGACAGUUCGGUCCCUAUCUGCCGUGGGCGUUGGAAGAUUGAAGGGGGCUGCUCCUAGAAUCGAGAGGACCGGAGUGGACGAACCUCUGGUGUUCGGGUUGUGUCGCCAGACGCAUUGCCCGGUAGCUAAGUUCGGAAUCGAUAACCGCUGAAAGCAUCUAAGCGGGAAGCGAGCCCUGAGAUGAGUCUUCCCUGAUACUUUAAGUAUCCUAAAGGGUUGUCGGAGACUACGACGUUGAUAGGUCAGGUGUGUAAGUGCUGUGAGGCAUUGAGCUAACUGAUACUAAUUGCCCGUGAGGCUUAACCAU
rnacentral:rRNA from 1 species